CUGAACUGUAAUUGGUUCAUGUUGAAAAAUCUCUCUAUUUUUUCUCCCACAUAGUUAGAUUCCGGAGGCCCUAUACACAUAGAUACUUAUCUGGUCAAGAUGAAAUUGGGGUCCUUUACAGGAAAGAUGUUCGAAAAAGGUUGCAUGAACACAAUUGAGAACAUAUGUACAUCGCGUUGCAGCUUGCUGGAGGAUACUGCAUUUCUCCACAUGGGCAAAAUAGUUCACUUUAUAUACAGAUGUUACAGAAGAAAAAAGGAUUGGCUGGCUGUACUUCUUUCCAGAAACCCGUAAAAUGUGUGCAUAAGCCUGAGAGAGGCUUGGCAGCUCAGUAAAAGACCUUUGGGUGAUUUUUUUCAUUAACUGUUUCACUGUUUACCCAGAAUCAUACAAAUGUGUGUUUAUCUUUGCAAUAAUUUUUUUUACAGCUUUUUUUUUUGUUUUGUUUUUUUAAAGUAUUUUGGAGAUAUUAAGGUCCAUGGCUGUAGCGUACUUUCUUCUCCCAACAAAGGGAAGCAGUAACAGCAGUUACGUUAUUUUAUUUGUUUUCUUAUUUGUUUGUUACAGAAGUAUCAGUUUAAAAUUACUUAUAGGAGAGAAGCAAGUUAAUGGCAAAAAGUUUUUACCUUGUGGUUUUGGUAAGAUGUUACAGCUAUAAACGCAGUCUCUGAGAAUACAUGGGUGCAAAAAGCAGUGUUCUUGGACCCAAAUCCAUUGUUUUCAUCUGCUUUAACUAUGUGAAGCCGAGGCUGGUAUUUGUGCAUGGA